rnacentral:misc_RNA from 1 species
GAUGAAGAACGCAGCGAAAUGCGAUAAGUAAUGUGAAUUGCAGAAUUCAGUGAAUCAUCGAAUCUUUGAACGCACCUUGCGCCCUUUGGCCAUUCCGAAGGGCAUGCCUGUUUGAGUAUCAUGAACACCUCAACUCUUCAUGGUUUUCCAUGAUGAGCUUGGACUUUGGGGGUCUUGCUGGCCUGUGGGUCGGCUCCCCUCAAAUGAAUCAGCUUGCCGGUUUUUGGUGGGCAUCACAGGUGUGAUAACUAUCUACGCUUGUGGUUUUCCACCAGGGUAACCUUCAGCAGUGGAGGUUCACUGGAGCUUACAAAUGUCUCUCCUCUGUGAGGACAGCCCUUUGAAUGUUUGAUCUCAAAUCAGGUAGGACUACCCGCUGAACUUAAGCAUAUCAAUAAGCGGAGGA